rnacentral:rRNA from 1 species
AUUGAACGCUGGCGGCAGGCCUAACACAUGCAAGUCGAGCGGAUGAAGGGAGCUUGCUCCUGUAUUCAGCGGCGGACGGGUGAGUAAUGCCUAGGAAUCUGCCUGGUAGGGGGGGAUAACGUCCGGAAACGGGCGCUAAUACCGCAUACGUCCUGAGGGAGAAAGUGGGGGAUCUUCGGACCUCACGCUAUCAGAUGAGCCUAGGUCGGAUUAGCUAGUUGGUGGGGUAAAGGCCUACCAAGGCGACGAUCCGUAACUGGUCUGAGAGGAUGAUCAGUCACACUGGAACUGAGACACGGUCCAGACUCCUACGGGAGGCAGCAGUGGGGAAUAUUGGACAAUGGGCGAAAGCCUGAUCCAGCCAUGCCGCGUGUGUGAAGAAGGUCUUCGGAUUGUAAAGCACUUUAAGUUGGGAGGAAGGGCAGUAAGUUAAUACCUUGCUGUGUUGACGUUACCAACAGAAUAAGCACCGGCUAACUUCGUG